AUACAUGCAAGUCGAACGAACUCUGGUAUUGAUUGGUGCUUGCAUCAUGAUUUACAUUUGAGUGAGUGGCGAACUGGUGAGUAACACGUGGGAAACCUGCCCAGAAGCGGGGGAUAACACCUGGAAACAGAUGCUAAUACCGCAUAACAACUUGGACCGCAUGGUCCGAGUUUGAAAGAUGGCUUCGGCUAUCACUUUUGGAUGGUCCCGCGGCGUAUUAGCUAGAUGGUGAGGUAACGGCUCACCAUGGCAAUGAUACGUAGCCGACCUGAGAGGGUAAUCGGCCACAUUGGGACUGAGACACGGCCCAAACUCCUACGGGAGGCAGCAGUAGGGAAUCUUCCACAAUGGACGAAAGUCUGAUGGAGCAACGCCGCGUGAGUGAAGAAGGGUUUCGGCUCGUAAAACUCUGUUGUUAAAGAAGAACAUAUCUGAGAGUAACUGUUCAGGUAUUGACGGUAUUUAACCAGAAAGCCACGGCUAACUACGUGCCAGCAGCCGCGGUAAUACGUAGGUGGCAAGCGUUGUCCGGAUUUAUUGGGCGUAAAGCGAGCGCAGGCGGUUUUUUAAGUCUGAUGUGAAAGCCUUCGGCUCAACCGAAGAAGUGCAUCGGAAACUGGGAAACUUGAGUGCAGAAGAGGACAGUGGAACUCCAUGUGUAGCGGUGAAAUGCGUAGAUAUAUGGAAGAACACCAGUGGCGAAGGCGGCUGUCUGGCUGUAACUGACGCUGAGGCUCGAAA
rnacentral:rRNA from 1 species